rnacentral:rRNA from 1 species
ACGAGUUUGAUCCGUGGCUACAGGACGAACGCUGGCGGCGUGCAUAACACAUUCAAGUCGAACGGUGACGGAAACUUCGGUUUCCUGAUCAGUGGCGGACGGGUGAGUAACGCGUGAGCAACCUGCCCUAUAUUGCGGGAUAACAACCGGAAACAGUUGCUAAUACCGCAUGACGUAUUCGGAUCGCAUGUUCUGAAUACCAAAGAAUUUUGAUAUAGGAUGGGCUCGCGUCCGAUUAGGCAGUUGGUGGGGUAACGGCCCACCAAGUCGACGAUCGGUAGCCGGACUGAGAGGUUGAACGGCCACAUUGGGACUGAGACACGGCCCAGACUCCUACGGGAGGCAGCAGUGAGGGAUAUUCGGCAAUGGGGGAAACCCUGACCGAGCAAUGCCGCGUGAGGGAUGACGGUUUUCGGAUUGUAAACCUCUGUCCUCUGUGAAGAUAAUGACGGUAGCAGAGGAGGAAGCUCCGGCUAACUACGUG